GCGUUAUCCGGAAUUAUUGGGCAUAAAGAGUUCGUAGGCGGUUUGUUAAGUUGGAUGUUAAAUUUUUGAGCUCAACUUAAAAAAAGUAUCCAAAACUGGCAAACUGGAGACUGGUAGAGGUAAGUGGAAUUCUGCAUGUAGGGGUAAUAUCCGUAGAUAUGCAGAGGAACACCAAAAGCGAAGGCAGCUUACUGGACCAGUUCUGACGCUCAAGAACGAAAGCGUGGGUAGCGAACGGGAUUAGAUACCCCGGUAGUCCACGCCCUAAACGAUGAACACUAGGUAUUGGAGGUCUCGACCCCUUCAGUGCCGACGCAAAUGCAAUAAGUGUUCCGCCUGGGUAGUACGAGCGCAAGCUUAAAACUCAAAGGAAUAGACGGGGACCCACACAAGCGGUGGAGCAUCUGGUUUAAUUCGACAAUAAGCGAGGAACCUUACCAAGGCUUGACAUCCCGAGAAGAUCGCCGAAAGGUGAUUGUGCCGUUAGGAACUCGGUGACAGGUGCUGCAUGGUUGUCGUCAGCUCGUGCCUUGAGGUGUUCGGUUAAGUCCGUGAACGAGCGCAACCCUUGUCUCAAGUUGCAUAUUUCUUGAGAGACUGCCGGUUUCAAAUCGGAGGAAGGUAAGGAUGACGUCAAAUCAGCAUGGCCCUUAUGUCUUGGGCGACACAGGUGCUACAAUGGCCGGUACAAUGGGCAGCGAAGGAGCAAUCUGGAGCAAAUCCUCAAAACCGGUCCAAGUUCGAAUUGAAGGCUGCAACUCGCCUUCAUGAAGUUGGAAUCGCUAGUAACCGCAUAUCAGCCAUGGUGCGGUGAAUCCGUUCCUGGGUCUUGUACUCACCGCCCGUCAAGUCAUGAAAGAUGGGGGUGCCCGAAGUACCCUUAGCUAAUUUAGCGGGGUCCUAAGGCAAAACCAUUGAUUGGGACUAAG
rnacentral:rRNA from 1 species